rnacentral:rRNA from 1 species
AUACGGAGGCUGCAAGCGUUACUCGGAAUCACUGGGCGUAAAGCGCGCGCAGGCGGUCUUUUAAGUUGGAUGUGAAAGCCUACGGCUCAACCGUAGAACUGCAUCCAAAACUAUUAGACUAGAGUGUGGGAGAGGAAGAUGGAAUUAGUUGUGUAGGGGUAAAAUCCGUAGAGAUAACUAGGAAUACCAAAAGCGAAGGCAAUCUUCUGGAACACUACUGACGCUGAGGCGCGAAAGCGUGGGGAGCAAACAGGAUUAGAUACCCUAGUAGUCC